GACGAACGCUGGCGGCGUGCUUAACACAUGCAAGUCGAACGGAAAGGCCCUGCUUUUGUGGUGUGCUCGAGUGGCGAACGGGUGAGUAACACGUGAGUAACCUGCCCUUGACUUUGGGAUAACUUCAGGAAACUGGGGCUAAUACCGGAUAGGAGCUCCUGCUGCAUGGUGGGGGUUGGAAAGUUUCGGCGGUUGGGGAUGGACUCGCGGCUUAUCAGCUUGUUGGUGGGGUAGUGGCUUACCAAGGCUUUGACGGGUAGCCGGCCUGAGAGGGUGACCGGCCACAUUGGGACUGUGAUACGGCCCAGACUCCUACGGGAGGCAGCAGUGGGGAAUAUUGCACAAUGGGCGGAAGCCUGAUGCAGCAACGCCGCGUGCGGGAUGACGGCCUUCGGGUUGUAAACCGCUUUCGCCUGUGACGAAGCGUGAGUGACGGUAAUGGGUAAAGAAGCACCGGCUAACUACGUG
rnacentral:rRNA from 1 species